UACAUAUGGGUAUAAAGACAUGCACAACAGUUAAGCCAAUGAUUUUUUGAUUGUUUAAAUCUUGAAUUGUAUAGCAUUUUACAUACACAACUGAAGCAUUAUUAUCUGAGCACCAACUGUGCUGUACAAAAUAGAUGAAGAUGGUUCUUGCCUCAGGGAACUCUCAAAUAGAGAAUGAUUGACAACACAUGAUCAAAGCAAAGAAUUUUAAAAAACACGUUUGGUAGAACUACUGAAAGGAUUCACAGACAAUGUGUUUUAAGGCAAUACUCAAAUUAAGAGGUGGUGUGCAGUGUGGGGCUCAGGUAACUGCUGGUGUGAACUAAAGUAAAUGGUGGAGGCUCUGUAACAAAGUCUUUAAAUCAAGAACUGAGGACUUCAAUAACUCAGCCAGAGGUUAUGGGCCUAUUACAGGAGACACUGGGCGACGUUCUGUGGACUAGAUGUACAAGAGGUCAGACUAGAUGAUCAUGAUGCUCUCUUCUGGCCAUAAAAUCUAUGAGUCUUUUCGUACACAAAUAUGAGAGGGAGCUCAUGGAAGACAGUGCAAAGACAAAAAAGUGGGAGAAGGGAUCCUUUGAUGGACAAUCUAAGAGAAUUAUAGGAAGGAAUAAAAGUAGAAAUUGUGAUAGUUUAAUUGUUCAGUGCCCUUAAACAGAGGGGCAAGCUUGAACUCUGUACAAAAAGAAAGGCAGCAAAGGGGAUUAAAUGAGGAAGGAGAUAAUAGGAGUGGAGGAAAGGGAACAUUUUAAAAGCAGAAUUUGAAUAGAAAGGGAGGGAAGAGAAGAGGACACUAAUAAUCAAGACAAAGUGAGAAUUUUUGUAGGAAUAAAAGAUGGAUUUUGGAGAUCUGGAGGAAAAAAGAGAAAUUAGCAACAGCAUGGAUAUUAGAGAAAAGUUAAAUGCAGCAGUAAAGUUGCAAGUCUGAGUGAUGGAAUAUGAUGGAGUUGAUGGUAACAGGAGGGUUUGUUUUUGUUUUGCUUGGUUGGUUUUUAAGUGCAAACAUUAGUGGUGUGGCAUGCUGGAUGUGUUAGAAUGAACAGAGAAUGAGAUGUCAAGGUAUGCUUGUACACAUUUGGGAAUUACUGUAAAAAUAAUUUACACUUUAAGAGUGGAUGAGAUCAUUCCUAGGAAAUGCCCAGGGAAAAGCAGGUGAAAUUAAGGAUAGAGCAUCAUGGAAUAUCAGAGAGGGAAGAUAAAGCAAUGAGCAAGGUUGAAUCUGUUGUUUUGUCCGAAAGAGUAAUUAGAUUCUAAUGCAAUAAUGAGGUAUUGUCAUGGCAUGAACAUGCAGUACUCCAGCAUAAACAAACAACAAGUUAUAGCUUGAAACAAGAGAGCUUACUGUUUACACCCAAGUCUAUGCAGCUACUUGAAAACUUUCUAUUUUAACUUACAAGUGAUGAGCUUUCCCGAUAACUAAGGAUAGGAUUAAGUCAUGGAUUCCAUGAUUUUUACAAACCUCUGGGACUCCUUGGCUUCAGUCCCCCAUGGUGAUCAGCCCUUCCGCUCCCCUGGUGGUUUUUUUUUUUUUUUUUUAGUAAAAGUCAUGUAUAGGUUGUGGGCUUCUGUUAAAUUUUUGUUUAUUGACUGCAACCUGUCCAUGACUUUUACUAAAAAAUAACUGACAAAAUCUUAACCUUACCUAUAACUGAAGCAAUAUUUUCUUUCAGCAUUGUUUUAAGUCUUUUUCCAAAGGAAAUACUACCAUACAGAAAUAAGCACAGCAUCUUAUUGCUGUGCAAUCAAAUAAUUUCACUAUUUUGAAGGUGCUCAUAAUUGAAUAAGUAUAAAAGCAUGCAAGUGUGAAAAUUCAGCUUACAUGAAAAUAAUUCCAAACAUUUUUUCAUGGUCUUAUAUUUCACUAACAAAAAUUGCUCUAUUGCUCAGCCAAGUAGAAAAUGCCACAUUAAAAAGCAGAACAGAUCAUUAAAUGCACUUUUCUACAUAUUAAAAGCAAAAUGAAAAUCUAUUUCAUUUAUCUCAUUUGAAAGGUUCGCCACGGGUGGAGAAAAAGCCAUUAUUCAAUCUACUAAGACUUGCACUUGGCUUCAGGUUACCUGUCCUAGAUAAGAAAAAUAUACAAGAUCAAGUUACUAAUUUAGAUGUAGUCUUGUAUUCAGAAUGCUAAGAGUAUAUAGAAGCAACAAAGAUGUGCAAUCUUGUUUACCUGUAUAAUUCAAGUAGGUUUUGAGGCACAAAAUGGAAGACUAAAUCCAUUCAGCUACCCAAGUAAAUGUGUAACUAUGCUUCGGUUUUGUUACUGUUUUUCUAAAAAAAAGUCCAUUAUAUUUUUAAAAUCGCCUAGGUAGUACUAACUUUAGCAACUACACAGAUACAUUACCUUCAAAGCAACUAUUCAAAACUUAAGAUUCUCUUGUAUCAAUGUUUCCAUAUACCAUGAGAAUUAUACUAGACAUUGGUGAAUUUCUAGAGACAAUAUAAAAAAAAUACCUGAUAUUUUGUUAGUUCUGCUUGUAAUAAUUUCACUUUAGAUCUUUCUUGUUCUAAUGCAGCAUGAAGUGUAGUCACCUACAACAAUUUUUUUAAAAAUGUUACAGAACGAUCUUAAUCUCCAAACACAUACACACACAUGCCCCGAACGUUUCUGCUGCAGUUCAACAGCCUAAAUAUUUUUAUAUAUAUAUAUAUAACAUUUUUUAAAAAAAGAAGUGUUGCUUGGAGGAGAUAUUUAGUUUAUUCAAGAAAGUGAUUAUUCUCAAAAUGAUCAAAAUGUAAUGUACUACACAUAGUACAAGUAGUAUUCCCCAAGUCUCUAUUAGUUCCCUAGUGCCUCUUUGUGUUUGCCUGAAUAAUGCAAUAUGAAAAGUGACAGUUUUCUUUCAGAUUUUAUGUCAGUAUACUGUAACUGAUGUAAUAUAAUGCAGCACAAUUGAUUCAAUUACCUCACCCUUACGAAGUGAUCAUCUCAGCAUUCACAAUUAAUGGAAAUGAAUUAUACCAUUUCUUGUCAUUCCAUGACAUUGCACAAAUGGAAUACUGGAUCAAGUUUAAUAUUUUAAUUAAAAAUCACUGCAAAGCCAAAACAAAUACAGAAAUAUGAUGUGUACUCCCUAUACUAUGUUCAUAUAAUAAAUGUUAAUGCUUAGUUUUGGAAAUCUGCUGACUCUUCUGCAGUAGAAAUCUCUGAAUGCACAAAUGCCAUUUAAAAAAGGGUAGCUGGAUCUUAUAUACUCUAUGGCCAUUAACACAAAGAAUCUGGAUACAGAGGAAUUCUGCACUUAUUUCUGUGCUUAUACCCAUUUUCAGUUUGGUUUUGCUGUUUGCCUUCAUAUACUAUUUUUAAAAAUAUUCACAAGGUUUAAUUUUUAUAAAAAAACCACUUACUUGUAAGGUCAACUCAUUCUUGAUGCUCUGAGAUUCAUCAACCUGUAGAAGUAUUUCUGCUUUGUCUUUCACUUAAAAAACAAAACAAGAACAUUAGGCUGUCUAUCUUUACAAGUCUUUAUAUAUAACCAUAGCUGGGGUUCUGCUGGAUCCAUUUUUUUGCUACCCUUAGGAUGUUUCCUCAGUCAUCACUGAAGUCAGGACCAACGAUAGAAGUUGCCUGGAGCCAACAGUCUAUUACCAUUUCCAGUAGCAGCAGCCUGUGAAUAUAGGAAGCUUUUUAGGCCUUUUAGGAAAACUUUCACUGCCUGCACCUGUAUGGGAUCCCACAGACUUUACAGAGACUCACUAUGGACACAGGUCUACCUGCAUGGUUCUCUGGAUAUGGAUGGAGCUUGAGAUGGGAAGAAACAUCCCACUCAACAACGUGGAAGUCAUAGGAAAUAUCCCCAUUAUGGCUUUCUGCAAGGACAUUCAGUCACCAUUGCAGCAAGGGGAACAGAGCAGUAGUAGUAUUUUCUGAAGAAAAAAAAAAAGAUUUGCUAAUGCCAGACUACUA